rnacentral:misc_RNA from 1 species
GAUGAAGAACGUAGCGAAAUGCGAUACUUGGUGUGAAUUGCAGAAUCCCGUGAACCAUCGAGUCUUUGAACGCAAGUUGCGCCCGAAGCCAUUAGGCCGAGGGCACGCCUGCCUGGGCGUCACACGUCGUUGCCCCCCCAUCUACUCCUUCGGGAUUGCGGGGGGCGGAUGAUGGCCUCCCGUGCGCCUCGUCGCGCGGUUGGCAUAAAUGCCAAGUCCUCGGCGACACACGCCACGACAAUCGGUGGUUGCGAAACCUCGGUUGCCCGUCGUGUGCGGUCGUCGCGCAUCGAGGGCUCGAAAAAAUUGCCGGGCUCCGGCUCGGCUUUCAACGCGACCCCAGGUCAGGCGUGGUUACCCGCUGAAUUUAAGCAUAUCAAUAAGCGGAGGA